rnacentral:rRNA from 1 species
GUUUGAUCCUGGCUCAGAUUGAACGCUGGCGGAAUGCUUUACACAUGCAAGUCGAGCGGCAGCGCGGGGCAACCUGGCGGCGAGCGGCGAACGGGUGAGUAAUACAUCGGAACGUGCCCAGACGUGGGGGAUAACUACUCGAAAGAGUGGCUAAUACCGCAUACGAUCUACGGAUGAAAGCGGGGAUCGCAAGACCUCGCGCGUCUGGAGCGGCUGAUGGCAGAUUAGGUAGUUGGUGGGAUAAAAGCCUACCAAGCCAACGAUCUGUAGCUGGUCUGAGAGGAUGAUCAGCCACACUGGGACUGAGACACGGCCCAGACUCCUACGGGAGGCAGCAGUGGGGAAUUUUUGGACAAAUGGGCGAAAAGCCUGAUCCAGCCAUUCCGCGUGCAGGAUGAAGGCCUCGGUGUAACUGCUUUGUACAGAACGAAAAGACUCUGGCUAAUACCUUAGGAGUUCCGAUGACGGUACUGUAAGAAUAAG